rnacentral:tRNA from 1 species
GCGCCGUUAACUCAGUGGUCAGAGUGUCCGCCUGUCUAGUGGAAAGCCACCGGUUCGAAUCCGGUACGGUGUGCCA